UGCAAGCGUUAAUCGGAAUUACUGGGCGUAAAGCGCGCGUAGGUGGUUCGUUAAGUUGGAUGUGAAAUCCCCGGGCUCAACCUGGGAACUGCAUUCAAAACUGUCGAGCUAGAGUAUGGUAGAGGGUGGUGGAAUUUCCUGUGUAGCGGUGAAAUGCGUAGAUAUAGGAAGGAACACCAGUGGCGAAGGCGACCACCUGGACUGAUACUGACACUGAGGUGCGAAAGCGUGGGGAGCAAACAGG
rnacentral:rRNA from 1 species